rnacentral:rRNA from 1 species
GAUGAACGCUGGCGGCGUGCCUAAUACAUGCAAGUCGAGCGAACGGACGAGAAGCUUGCUUCUCUGAUGUUAGCGGCGGACGGGUGAGUAACACGUGGAUAACCUACCUAUAAGACUGGGAUAACUUCGGAAAACCGGAGCUAAUACCGGAUAAUAUUUUGAACCGCAUGGUUCAAAAGUGAAAGACGGUCUUGCUGUCACUUAUAGAUGGAUCCGCGCUGCAUUAGCUAGUUGGUAAGGUAACGGCUUACCAAGGCAACGAUGCAUAGCCGACCUGAGAGAGUGAUCGGCCACACUGGAACUGAGACACGGUCCAGACUCCUACGGGAGGCAGCAGUAGGGAAUCUUCCGCAAUGGGCGAAAGCCUGACGGAGCAACGCCGCGUGAGUGAUGAAGGUCUUCGGAUCGUAAAACUCUGUUAUUAGGGAAGAACAUAUGUGUAAGUAACUGUGCACAUCUUGACGGUACCUAAUCAGAAAGCCACGGCUAACUACGUG